rnacentral:sRNA from 1 species
UGGCGUUGAUGAAGCUCUUUGUGCCAAAGACGGCAGCUUUCGAGCUCCGUCGAUGACGGUCACAACCCUCUAAGAAGUUCUGAGCCUCCUUCCAUUCUAUUGUUUUCAUGUUUUAGUUGGUUUUAUAGUGAUUUUUUUUAAUUGUUUUAGGAAUUGGGUUUGAUCGAAGAAAGCGAGGUGACGAUAGAAAUUCAUGUCUGUCAAUCCACUGACUGGUAACAGUGUGAUGUUACUGUGAAUCCCGACAGGUUCCGAUCGCUUUCUUUCUAAAUUUCCAUUGUUUUCGCAAUUCAAAUAAAAACCAUAGUUUUAUUUUUUUGUUUGACAAGAAUGUGGGGGCAGGUGAUGAAUCAAAUUGGUAUUUAUGGGUAAUUUGCGUCUGAAAUUCAUUGAUGUUUUAUCUAUCACCUUGGAGAACUGAUGCCCUUGUUCCUUUUUGUUUUUUUACUAAUUUUACUUGUCUGCUUCUUUUAUAAAUGCUAAUUAUUAAAUCAUUGUGAUAUUUUUAUGAAAUUUGAUAAUUUAUUGUCUGUGAUGACAAAUCCGAAGGCUUGUUUCUCAAGAACAUUCGCAGUGGCCGACUAAGAGCUUUCGCCUUUCGCCGGGCUUGAGAGCUUAUGCUGCUUUUCUCCUUCCUUGGAUGUCUGAGACA